CCGCAUUCUAAACCCUCCUGGCAGCUCUGUCAGUAGCUCCCAGGGUAAGAAUGAAUGCCAGAGAAAACUGGUGAUUUAUCCAAAAUGUGGAGCUUUUCUCCCGUGGCUCUUUGUUAUUUCACGUCUUCAACAUUU
rfam:Calypte anna contig42510, whole genome shotgun sequence.